rnacentral:rRNA from 1 species
UACGAAGGGGGCUAGCGUUGCUCGGAUUGACUGGGCGUAAAGGGCGCGUAGGCGGUUCGUACAGUCAGACGUGAAAUUCCUGGGCUCAACCUGGGGGCUGCGUUUGAUACGUGCGGACUUGAGUGCGGAAGAGGGUCGUGGAAUUCCCAGUGUAGAGGUGAAAUUCGUAGAUAUUGGGAAGAACACCGGUGGCGAAGGCGGCGACCUGGUCCGGUACUGACGCUGAGGCGCGAAAGCCAGGGGAGCAAACGGG